UUCCGGGAUACCCCGCUGGGCCAGAACC
rnacentral:sRNA from 1 species